rnacentral:lncRNA from 1 species
UCAAACAUGCCUAGCAUUGUGGGUUACACAAAUGCUAUAUGGCUAAAAUAUGAUUAAUACUAAACCCGGUAAAAAUAACACAAGGUUCCUAGUAUUUAAUCGUAAAUUAACACAAUCAAUCAUAUUCCAGAAUCUAGCAUAAAGACUAAUUCCAGAAUACCUAACUAUCCACAACUUGGCGAUAUCAUCUAAGUAUUCCGCAUUCGCUAACUAACCAAUCAACCUAACC